rnacentral:tRNA from 1 species
GAAAGUAGCUCAGUGGUAGAGCGUCACCUUGCCAAGGUGAGGGUCGCGGGUUCAAAUCCCGUCUUUC